rnacentral:pre_miRNA from 1 species
UUAACUGAAAUUUGUAUGGGGUUGGAACGUUUGCCUACGUUUGCCGGGUGCAUUUCCAACUGCAUACAAAUUUGGUA